rnacentral:rRNA from 1 species
CCUACGGGAGGCAGCAGUGGGGAAUAUUGCACAAUGGGGGAAACCCUGAUGCAGCAACGCCGCGUGAGUGAGGAAGUAUUUCGGUAUGUAAAGCUCUAUCAGCAGGGAAUAGAAAAGAAGGUACCUUAAAAAGAAGCCCCGGCUAACUACGUGCCAGCAGCCGCGGUAAUACGUAGGGGGCAAGCGUUAUCCGGAUUUACUGGGGGUAAAGGGAGCGUAGACGGAAAGGCAAGUCAGAAGUGAAAGCCCAAGGCUCAACCAUGGGACUGCUUUUGAAACUGUCAAACUAGAGUACGGGAGAGGUAAGAGGAAUUCCUAGUGUAGCGGUGAAAUGCGUAGAUAUUAGGAGGAACACCAGUGGCGAAGGCGGCUUACUGGACCGAAACUGACGUUGAGGCUCGAAAGCGUGGGGAGCAAACAGGAUUAGAUACCCUUGUAGUC